rnacentral:rRNA from 1 species
GACGAACGCUGGCGGCGUGCUUAACACAUGCAAGUCGAACGGAAAGGCCUCUAUCGGGGGGUACUCGAGUGGCGAACGGGUGAGUAACACGUGAGUAACCUGCCCUUGACUUUGGGAUAACUUCAGGAAACUGGGGCUAAUACCGGAUAGGAGCUCCUGCUGCAUGGUGGGGGUUGGAAAGUUUCGGCGGUUGGGGAUGGACUCGCGGCUUAUCAGCUUGUUGGUGGGGUAGUGGCUUACCAAGGCUUUGACGGGUAGCCGGCCUGAGAGGGUGACCGGCCACAUUGGGACUGAGAUACGGCCCAGACGCCUACGGGAGGCAGCAGUGGGGAAGAUUGCACAAUGGGUGGAAGCCUGAUGCAGCAACGCCGUGUGCGGGAUGACGGCCUUCGGGUUGUAAACCGCUUUCGCUCAUGACGAAGCUUUGUGUGACGGUAGUGGGUAAAGAAGCACCGGCUAACUACGUG